GGUUGCCUUGACCUUGGGGGUGGGGAACAGGAAGGCAGGAAAGUGUACCCCACCAGCUUUGACGAUUUUUCCUCUUUCCACCUGAUUUUUACCAAAGGUGCCCUGGAGCAUGUCCUGGUGGUGCUGAGUGGAAGAGACCUUGCUUGGAGGGAGGUGCCAAGAAUGGAUGGACCUGCCCAACUGCAGCAGAGUAAGUGUGGAUGAGUUGGAUGAUGGGAUACUCAACACAGUGAGAGCAAACCUAUGACAGCUACAGGCAAUGACACAGGCCA
rnacentral:lncRNA from 1 species